rnacentral:rRNA from 1 species
UACGUAGGGUGCAAGCGUUAAUCGGAAUUACUGGGCGUAAAGCGUGCGCAGGCGGUUAUGGAAGACAGUUGUGAAAUCCCCGGGCUCAACCUGGGAACUGCAUCUGUGACUGCAUAGCUAGAGUACGGUAGAGGGGGAUGGAAUUCCGCGUGUAGCAGUGAAAUGCGUAGAUAUGCGGAGGAACACCGAUGGCGAAGGCAAUCCCCUGGACCUGUACUGACGCUCAUGCACGAAAGCGUGGGGAGCAAACAGG